UGGGGGGUGGUGUAAUCGGUAGCACGCAGGCCUUUGGAGCCUGAAAGUCUCGGUUCGAGUCCGAGCCCCCCAG
rnacentral:tRNA from 1 species